rnacentral:rRNA from 1 species
UACGAAGGGGGCUAGCGUUGUUCGGAAUCACUGGGCGUAAAGGGCGCGUAGGCGGCUUUGUAAGUCAGGGGUGAAAUCCCGGGGCUCAACCUCGGAACUGCCUUUGAUACUGCAAAUCUCGAGUCCGGAAGAGGUGAGUGGAAUUCCUAGUGUAGAGGUGAAAUUCGUAGAUAUUAGGAAGAACACCAGUGGCGAAGGCGGCUCACUGGUCCGGUACUGACGCUGAGGUGCGAAAGCGUGGGGAGCAAACAGG